rnacentral:rRNA from 1 species
CCUACGGGAGGCAGCAGUGAGGAAUAUUGGUCAAUGGACGAGAGUCUGAACCAGCCAAGUAGCGUGAAGGAUGACUGCCCUAUGGGUUGUAAACUUCUUUUAUAAAGGAAUAAAACGAGGCACGUGUGCCUUUUUGCAUGUACUUUAUGAAUAAGGAUCGGCUAACUCCGUGCCAGCAGCCGCGGUAAUACGGAGGAUCCGCGCGUUAUCCGGAUUUAUUGGGUUUAAAGGGAGCGUAGAUGGUUUGUUAAGUCAGUUGUGAAAGUUUGCGGCUCAACCGUAAAAUUGCAAUUGAUACUGGCAGUCUUGAGUACAGUUGAGGUAGGCGGAAUUCGUGGUGUAGCGGUGAAAUGCUUAGAUAUCACGAAGAACCCCGAUUGCGAAGGCAGCUUACUAAACUGUGACUGACAUUGAUGCUCGAAAGUGUGGGUAGCAAACAGGAUUAGAUACCCCAGUAGUC